rnacentral:tRNA from 1 species
UAUAUUCUAGUAUAAGACGUACGAAAGUUUUUGAUACUUUAAGAAAUAAUUUAAUUUUAUUGAAUAUAU